CGUCCUGCCGGCGACCGGCGCACGGGUGAGUAACACGUAUGCGACCUGCCCCCGCAGGGGGAUAACCGGGAGAAAUCUCGACUAAUACCGCGUAACGCCGCGGGGCUGCAGUGGCCCGGCGGCCAAAGGAAGCGAUUCCGGCGGGGGAUGGGCAUGCGGCGCAUUAGCAAGUCGGCGGGGUAACGGCCCACCGAGGCGACGAUGCGUAGGGGUUCUGAGAGGAAGGUCCCCCACACUGGUACUGAGACACGGACCAGACUCCUACGGGAGGCAGCAG
rnacentral:rRNA from 1 species